rnacentral:rRNA from 1 species
UACAGAGGGUGCGAGCGUUGUCCGGAAUCACUGGGCGUAAAGAGCUCGUAGGCGGCUUGUCACGUCGGGUGUGAAAGCCCGGGGCUUAACCCCGGGUCUGCAUUCGAUACGGGCUAGCUAGAGUGUGGUAGGGGAGAUCGGAAUUCCUGGUGUAGCGGUGAAAUGCGCAGAUAUCAGGAGGAACACCGGUGGCGAAGGCGGAUCUCUGGGCCGAUACUGACGCUGAGGAGCGAAAGCGUGGGGAGCGAACAGG